AGAAGUUCAAAUAAUUGAAUACCGCCACUCUAAUACUAAAAAUGCUUUCUGAAGUACGUCUGUAAACUUCAUCUUAUACUAACAGAGGAUGACGCUAGUCCUGAGCCGUCUACAUGGUGGAGGAGACCCACUGGAAAGUCACUAAACCUAUGAAGAUUUGCUAAAUCCAGACAUCCCUGGAGACACAUAAAAUCAUUAGCAAUAUGAAAGAAGAGGUUUUAAUCCACUGAUUUCUUUAAAAUUGGAGUUUUAUUAUGGUUCAUUUUACAAAUUGAACUAGGACUUUCUGUGGGAUGGUGAUGAGGUAUUGUAACAUGCCACAGUUGUAUUAACUAUGGAAACUUUGUGAGAAAGUAAAGCACUACCUCAGAGAAUAUUUAUAUUUUUGCUAAGUGAGACUAAGUCUUUCUGCUGACACAAAUAUGGUUUCAGAGAAAGCCUCAGGGGAAAACAGCUGGAUUUGUUUGAAAUUCUCAGUGAGAUCAUAUGGGAGGAACAGGUUAAACUUUUAAAAUUUGCAGAUAAGGUUGGUCAUUACUUAAAUACUUCAGUUUGUUCACUGAGCUAACUUAUGAAACACAAAAGACACCAUGAACAGUUUCAGAGAUGCUUCUCCCACACUUCAAAGACCACCUUAUAAACUGGUGUUCUCUCUCUCUCCGGCAAAGCUCUAUUUCACAGACUUUUUAUGCAUGUCUUGGCUUUUGGGUUGUGUUACCUGUGAUACAUACUUUUAUCCUCUGCCUUCACUGGUCUUUUUUCCAUCAAAGUUUAAUUUAAUUCUGUUGCCAUACACAUGCAGUACACGGUGAGUGUAUUAACAAUUUUAAUUAACAAUUUUAAUCUUGGAACUGAAGGGCAAUUCUGAAGCAUCUGUUGUUGCCAUAAAGACAUUGGUAUGAAAAUUGUGAUUGUUUUGCAGCCUUCUUGUGAUAGCUCAUGGGACAUUGUUUACUCUUUGUAUCUGUGGAGCUGGCAUGGGUAUGUAUCUUCAUGUGACAGCUUGUGAUGGUACUGUAAACCUUAGAAGAGGAAGGCGUGGAGUUUAAGAAAUCAUAUGGUCUUAGGAAAGAGCUUAGCCUUAAUUUAUGCGAUUGUUCUCUCUUGUGACUCAACAGGCACCCAAAACAGGAGCAUUCCUACACUGGAGAUGCUGCAGAAGCCUCAGUACCUCAGGCAGGCAAAUCCCACUGCUGACACUUCAAGGCUUACCGCAGAGGUGCUGAGCGGCCGUGCAGGAUGCUCCUCGUGCCAAGGAGUGCUGACAGGUCAAACCGUGAUGCUGCAGUCACAGAGUGACUGAGAAGAUGUGUCAUAAAUGAAUACACCCUCUAGCAUAAAGGGGAAAAGGUAUGGAAGAGCCCAGAUGGAGGUCACACACCCAGUGAUUCUCAGACAGUCCAUCCAGGAUUUACUUAAAGCACUGCAGAACAGCACACUGAACAACUCCUCUGCUGGGGCAUGCUGAUAAAAAGUAACACUUCUGCUAAUAAGAGUACCCUUUACUGGUUUUGUGCUUUGCUGCUCGGUUAGCGCGGUGCACUUGGUGUCUCUUCACCGUCUCCUAUAUUCUUUCCCAUCUUGUGGUGGGGAGAUUGUAUGACAACAUAGUUUGAAAUGCUCUCACUGCCUGUGCAACUUCCGAUGCAGCUCCUAUAUUUUCUCAGCAUGAAGCAUUUACAGCAACAUGCCCUGGCAUGGGAAACAUCAUGGGAUACUCCGUGGCCACCCCAGGAACUUGGGCAAGCCUUACAAUCUGCUGUCAGAUGUCGAGGUGUUUUAAGUAGCUGUGCCUGCAGAACCACAGGGCUCUGUGCAGUGCACCUACAUGCUCAGUAGUGGUUGGAAAUGAUUAUCUGCAGUCCUCGCAGAUACCAGGAUAAUGUAGCUUUCAUUACUGCCUCUCAUCUUAGAAAAGUCCAUGAUAUGGGUUAGGUCAUGAUAUUCACACUUAGUAACCAUAAAAGCAUCUGUAAUGUGGAAAAUCUCCAUCUGGAUCAGAAUCCAUUAGUUUGUCCUGUGUGUGAGGGGCUGAGAGGCUCUCUGUGCUCUGCUUACUGCCUCAAGAAGUGUGGGGUUUGUGACAGGCUGCUGAUGACCACCAGCUGAAAGACUCGAAGGCCAUCAGUGACAUUAGGACCAUCUCAUUAGCAACCCCUGUGUAAUGCAGUCAGAGGACCUCAGGCAGCGAACAACAAGCCCUUAUCUUUUCUGUUUGCGCUUUCAGAUCAUUACUAGAAGCUAACAUGCAUGACCUGAGUGUCAUUCCCCAAGCCCCUGACACCAGCAACAGCUGCAUUCCUCAGAAUAGAAAGGGAAUGGCACAAGGCUGGCUGGCUGCUAAAUCAAAUGCCAGCCUGUCAUUUACCUAGCCUAUCUCCAACAACUGCAGAUGAUCUUUUACUGUCAGAGGAUGGAGAAGGAUCGCCCAGAAAUAUUAGACUGAAUAUUAGGCAGAAGUAUUUUAGUAAGCAUAAAAUAAGGAACGCAGUAGAGAGGAACAAUAAAUUUUGUUGAUCUCUAAAUUAAACAGAUUUAUUGUCUGUCACUUCUAGCUGCAUGGAGUACAGCACUACAAACAUUAAGGGCUGUCAUUCUGUCCCUUGUCAGCGCAACAUCAAUCACUGUGGAAACCCCAUCCACGGCUGGAGUUCCUAUGCAUUACCCACAAUGUAAUUAACAGCUAAGAAAAACAGUGAGAGCAGGUCUUCUCUCAGCUUCCUUUCCAUGUGCCUGCGGGUGAAUUUUCUGGGGUGUUUAUGUCUGCAGUUCUUAAACAACUGUGGAAUCCUCCCUUCUUAAGCAGCCAGUCGCAUACUUUUCAGAAUUUUGUCCACUGGUUAAAGUUUCAUUGUUUAUGUUAUGAACAAAGGCAACCAUUCUUGUCCUGGAUUAACCUGUAGAUAGUUCUCUGAAUAAUACAGAGCUUGCUCAAGGGAUCAGGAUUAAGGACACCAUGCACUGCAUUGUCAGCUGAUGCCACUGUCACAGCGAUGACACCUGAACUCUGAGGCAGUCCGUGGCAUAAUCCUGACAUAAACCAUAACACACGACCAAGAUACCACCAGUCCUGUAGCUGUAGUCCCCAGCUACUCCUCUGCCGGAGGUUUUAUGACCCACAUUUACCUGUUCUUAGUACGAAAUGGAAACCCAGCAUCCAUGAACUCUCACUGAGAAGAGGGACAUCGAACCAGCCCUCAUAUAGCUGUGACCCAGCUCUUGUGAAGACCAUGAAUAUAGAUAAAUUGUUUUACUCAGGGAAGGGGACAGAACUGAAGGACCCUAAUGUUGAAUUUAUUCAGUGGACAUAGACAUGCCUGACUUAUAGCCGAAUUAUAUGGAGCCCAUGUCCUUGUAAUAGCAAAAAAUGAGGUUACCAUUGCUAGGAUUAUUUAUAUGAAAAAUCAGGACUGGACACAUUCAAUUUUUCUUGAUUUUCUGACGGAGUAAUGUAAUCGCUGGAAGGAAGAGUUCUCAUUGUCUCCAAACUGCUUAUCACAUGAGAGGCACAGAAAUAUGGACUAGGGACUGGAUACUUCCUCUUAGCUGUUAAUUUCAAAAGAAGCUUUGUGGCUGAAAUCAGCAGCAAUAAAGACUGAGCGGAGCAGCUCCAUCUCAGUAAUGGAUGUUGCUAUGGAAAUGAGGAAAAUUUGCUUGUUCUUAGAAUUACAAGAACACACGGGAUAAUGAGGGAAAAAACAUACAUUUUAACAGCCAGCCUUAAAUGAUUCCAUCAUGCUAGACAGAAAUGUGUAGGCCUGUCUAUAGUUUUUAUUCCAAAAGUUAGUCUGCCAUAAUUUGCUUGUUCUCUAACAGUUUAGCCUGAGCACUUCAAGCAUCAGCCCUUGCAGAUUCACAAUGCAGCCACAAAGCUCCACAUAAAGCUGGGACUCCAGCGGCUCUCCAGCAGGCUUUGCAUUGUUUUGCCCAGUGUUUCCAUGGGAACCUGACUCUGCUGAGAAAAGAAAGAUUCAGAAACUUCAGCUAAGCCAGUUUAAAAGAGCAGCUGCAAGCUGCUCUUGUAGCCUAGAGGAGACAGAACAAAGGGCCUUUGCUAGAAGACAGGA